CCUUCAACUAAUCAAGAAGAACAACAAUCAAAAAGUGGUUAUAACUAACUCUCAACAAACUUGAGAGCAAAGGGAACAAGAACCAAACAAGUAGUGCCAACUAAUUGACACCACUCCCUAUGUGCCACCCACCCUCUUUUUGGCUCCUAAGGAGGACGCCAAGAGAGAGAAGAGGCAUGGACUAGAGAGAGGAAGAGAAGGAGAGGCAUGGGCCCAGUGAAAGGUGGCAGCAAGGUG
rnacentral:lncRNA from 1 species